UGCAGCGGAAGCUGGGUGAGCAGGACCGGAAGUCUUCAUCCAAGCGGGGUCCAGGGAAAGAAGGUAGCGUGCAGCUGUAAACUCAUCUGCGUGUUGCAGCUCCUCCGCCUCCUUUCGUCUCAUGCCACCCACAUACCAGCUCCUCUCCUCCUGUGCAAGAACUGCUUCAUCAUCUUCAUCAGUGUGUGAGGAGAGGUCCUGCAGGAAAACUCUCGGCGUGCAAGACUGCACCUCACUGCUGCUGUGGCCUUUCUCCUUCUCCAAGGACUCUAAAACACCAACCAUUCAAACAGUGCAGUGUUACCCACAAAUUAAGGCCAGUCCGCAUUAAACUGUCUGGACUCUGAUGCUGUCUGCACUGACUGCUGGCCUCAUGACAAAGUUCUAGAGGGAGAUAUUGGUGUAUGGUUCAGUCUUACAGCACGCGGGAGACUGUCCAGACUAGUGUGCUGACAGGUGACACUGACUGCCUAAAAUACCAGAACUGGCACUCCUCAAUGUUCAGACCCACUCUUCCAGACUCUGGGUGGUUUGAUGCUCGACCUCGCCUUGCCUCGCCUAACAAACAACAGCUGACCACCCAGAGAUGCCAUGUCAAUCUGAAUUUUUUCUUUUUAGUUGGAAAGCAGUUUUGUCUUAGCUUUGGGAAUCCAGAAUGUUUUAUGAAAAUCUAUAAGUUAGUCUAAAAAAAAAAAAAAGUACAUGUGAACUGUUUGCUUUUAGUAAACCCAAGCACCCCAGCAGUGCUACAUGUAUGUAGGGCAGCAUUUGUUUUUAACAGUUGAUGUAACUUGUCCCUUCAGCACUUGUGUUGGCACGCCCGGAGCUGUUUUAACGAAUGCUGGAGGAAUCACACUAAUGCUGCUGUAACAUUAGGAAGGGAGUAAACUCAUGAACCCCAUGCAGCCAAACACUGACUCUCUGUUAAAGCCUGCCUGGCAUGAAAGCGAAACACGAUCUGCAACUAAUUAAUCCUAAAUCUAGUUGAAUAGCAGAAACGUGGGAUAGUGAAGCAUGUGAUAUCGUGUUCUGCUAAAGCCAUGCAAGUUUCUAACUAUGUUGGGCUAGAAAAUAAAGUUUAUUGGGGAGUUCAGAGGAGAUCUGAUUUUCUUGUUAGUGUUGACUUCUGCUGACUGUUAUAAAUGGAAUUAACUGUGAAUUGUUUACAUGUGUAAUUGUAUUUGCCAAAGCAUAGAUGUCUCCCUAAUAAAGGGUGGUAGUAUUAUCUACAUUGUUCUGAUGGACAAAUGACAUCGUUUAAAAUCGAUUUACCACUGUGACUUCAGAAUUAAAGGUUUACAAGUAAGUUUGACAUUUACGGGUAAAUAGAAGUCAUAGAUUUAAUUUUUUAAACAUCUAAUUUCAACUGAAUAAGUGACAACUUAAAGGGAAAAAACAAGACGUCAUAUGAAAGCUGUGUCUUAAAAUAAAUGUUCUAAAUAAUCUCUAGAAUGCACCAUUAAAGGACAUAGGAUUGAGUGCAGGUUACUUACUAUA